UAGUUAGGAAAUAUUUAAUCAGAGUAAACCACCAUGUUUUAUAACAUUAAACAUAUGGGUAAAACCCAAGUUUUCAAUACACACAUUUCAUAGGAAUAAAUCCUAUUUAUUUAAUAAAAACAUCCGUUUUAUUUUUAGGUAACUUUAUUGCCACUUUUCCAAGCCUCCAGUGCUGUCCAGCUGGCUUCUAUUUGGCUUUCACAUUUUAUUACCUUGUUGGGGCUUGGCCUGCUACUGUUCUUAGUGUUGAUCAUUGGUAAUGAUAUCUGCCUUUUCUUUGACAACCAUAAUGACUUUGGAGAUGUUUCAACGAUUCGAAACUUUUGGUUCCAUAUGUGUUAUUCCACACUUAGCGCUAGGCCUGUAAAUGAAUCGAACGUUCAUGAACUGUUCGUGAACUUGUUCGGCGGGAAGUUCGUUUAUGUUCGUUUAUUUAAUAAACGAACACGAACAAAAAAUUUUGUUCGUUUAACUAAAUGAACGAACAUGAACACACCUUGUGUUCGUUCAUUUAUGUUCGUGAACGUUGUUUAUGUUCGUUCAUUUAUGUUCAUAAACGAGUUGAAGCAAACCCGCGCAUUGCGGCGGGAUGUUGAUUAUAAAUGUCUUUAGUAUUAAGAUAUGAGAUGCAAUUAUUAGUUUAAUUCGAAACAUAUUUUUCUUUUUGCUUUAUCCAUGGUUACAACAUCAAACCAAGACAUUUAUUUUAUAGAUUUCUGAAAACGGAAAUUAAAAAAUCGCAGUCGUAGCAAAGUAAUAAAUUUAAAUUUAAUGUUAUCAGAAUUUAAAUCCAACCAUUAGUUUGGUGAUGGUAUAAGACCAAUGGGUAUGGGGUUCGGCACAGGGCCGUCCCCCCCCCCCCCUUUAGGCAAGUCGCACACCGCCCCCUAGGGGCUUGGCUCGGCACAUGCGUCGGAUUUCAGACGGUGGACACGGGGCAAGAUGGAUGCUCCUCCUCCCGUGA
rnacentral:lncRNA from 1 species